AUUAACUUCGGUUAAUUUUAGUGGCGGACGGGUGAGUAACACGUGAGAAUUCGCCUUUAGGAGGGGGAUAACGGAUGGAAACAUUCGCUAAAACCCCAUAUGCCCCUGGGUGAAACAGAGGAGAUAAGUAAUACUGACUCUUACCUCUGCCUGAAGAGAAGCUCGCGGCUGAUUAGCUAGUUGGUAGGGUAAAGGCCUACCAAGGCGACGAUCAGUAGCUGGUCUGAGAGGACGAUCAGCCACACUGGAACUGAGACACGGUCCAGACUCCUACGGGAGGCAGCAGUGAGGAAUUUUCUGCAAUGGGCGAAAGCCUGACAGAGCAAUACCGCGUGAGGGAUGAAGACUUACUGAGUUGUAAACCUCGGUACCUUAAGGAAGAAGAUCUGACGGUACUUAAGGUGGAAAGCAUCGGCUAACUCCGUGCCAGCGGCCGCGGUAAGACGGGGGAUGCAAGUGUUAUCCGGAUUUACUGGGCGUAAAGCGUCUGCAGGUGGUUUUCUAAGUCUACUGUUAAAUCUUGAGGCUCAACCUCAAAUCUGCAGUAGAAACUAGAAGACUUGAGUAUAGUAGGGGUAGAGGGAAUUUCCAGUGGAGCGGUGAAAUGCGUAGAUAUUGGAAAGAACACCGAUGGCGAAGGCACUCUACUGGGCUAUUACUGACACUCAGAGACGAAAGCUAGGGGAGCAAAUGGGAUUAGAUACCCCAGUAGUCCUAGCCGUAAACGAUGGAUACUCGAUGUUGGACGUAUCAACCCGUUCAGUAUCUUAGCUAACGCGUUAAGUAUCCCGCCUGGGGAGUACGCUCGCAAGAGUGAAACUCAAAGGAAUUGACGGGGGGCCCGCACAAGCGGUGGAGGAUGUGGUUUAAUUCGAUGCAACGCGAAGAA
rnacentral:rRNA from 1 species